rnacentral:rRNA from 1 species
UACGAAGGGGGCUAGCGUUGCUCGGAAUGACUGGGCGUAAAGGGCGCGUAGGCGGUCAGGUCAGUCCCGUGUGAAAUCCCUCGGCUCAACUGAGGAACUGCACGGGAAACUGCCUGGCUUGAGUUCGGGAGAGGGAUGCGGAAUUCCAGGUGUAGCGGUGAAAUGCGUAGAUAUCUGGAGGAACACCGGUGGCGAAGGCGGCAUCCUGGACCGGCAUUGACGCUGAGGAGCGAAAGCCAGGGGAGCAAACGGG